GACAGAGGUGCCAAGCGUUAGGCGGAAUCACUGGGCUUAAAGCGUGUGUAGGCGGAAUUGUAAGUAUCUUGUGAAAUCCCACGGCUUAACCGUGGAACUGCUCGAUAUACUGCUUUUCUUGAGCCAACUAGGGGCAACCGGAACAAAUGGUGGAGCGGUGAAAUGCGUAGAUAUCAUUUGGAACGCCAAUGGUGAAAACAGGUUGCUGGGGUUGUGCUGACGCUGAGAUACGAAAGCCAGGGGAGCAAACGGG
rnacentral:rRNA from 1 species